AUGGCCGAUGGCAUAGCAGUGACAUUGCAAGCCUGUGAGCACACAGGAAUGGUCCAUGGUGAGAAGGCUGAAUGCGCUACAUCGAUCGAGUCAUUGCUUGAUCUCGUUGCACAAAGGAUGUCCGGGGCCUUGACCCCUGAAGCUCCAAUGAAAGGUGUGCCGUCACUAAGGUACGUCGUGGCCUCUGCUACAUGGGUGCCCAACUCCGAGAGUAUGCUAGCUUGCCAUGACAUGCUAUACCCCUACAAGGUGUUCUUCUGCCACACACCAAAGCAAACCAGGUUAUAUCAGGUGUCACUGGUUAGCGGUGAAUCAGGUCGACCGCCCAUUGAUGGAUUAUUGGCUGUGUGCCACCAAAACACUUCGGACUGGGACACUGGCCACCCUUUCUUCCAUUUUAUGGAUGUGAAGCCAGGAGAGACCACUGCCUGCCACUUCUUCGGUAGAGGACGCAUUAUCUGGGUGCUAUCUGUGAAAGAAGUGUUAACGACCAAAUUUGGUAAUCUAAGUAUCGAAGAUGAAGAAGGAAUCGAAACGGAGUUUGAGAUGGAGAUUGUCCCAGAAAUAGAGUAAAGUCGGCUGA
rnacentral:lncRNA from 1 species